rnacentral:lncRNA from 1 species
GGGUUCGAAAAGUGAGAAAGUGAGCUACGAGUGUUGUGAGCCCAUAAAAUCUUAGGGAGAUCUUCAACAUCCUCUCAAGCAUGUCUGUUGACGAUCCAGAGUGUCCGAAGAAUCGAUAGAUAUCGAUCGAAGGAGUUCGAUCAGCAUCGACCGUCAAAAGGGCUCUACAACGAGCUAGCACUCGUGAGGAGUCGAUCAGACCGAGAGCU